rnacentral:rRNA from 2 species
GGUUUCCGUAGGUGAACCUGCGGAAAGGAUCAUUA